CUGAAAGAUUGUAGUCUACUUUGGAAUUCGUUCAAAGGGCACUUUUGGUAUUAACCCAGACCAUGGAAGCAAGGCUGAGAAAAAAA
rnacentral:lncRNA from 1 species